UACGUAGGGCGCAAGCGUUGUCCGGAAUCAUUGGGCGUAAAGAGCUCGUAGGCGGUCUGUUGCGUCCGCUGUGAAAACCCGGGGCUUAACCCUGGGCUGGCAGUGGAUACGGACAGACUAGAGGUAGGUAGGGGAGAAUGGAAUUCCCGGUGUAGCGGUGAAAUGCGCAGAUAUCGGGAGGAACACCGGUGGCGAAGGCGGUUCUCUGGGCCUUACCUGACGCUGAGGAGCGAAAGCGUGGGGAGCGAACAGG
rnacentral:rRNA from 1 species